GGGCUGUUAGCUCAGUUGGUUCAGAGCACCACGUCGACAACGUGGGGGUCAUAGGUUCGAGCCCUAUACAGCCCA
rnacentral:tRNA from 1 species